ensembl:lncRNA
ACUGGAUUUACAUUUGAGUUUCUUAAGAAUUCACCAUUUUUGUGGAGUCCAGGUUAUUUUCAUUGCCAAAAUUUUUGGUUUUUGAGAUUUUUUUGUUCAAAGUGGUGCUUCCUUUAAAAUGUUCUUAGUAAUAUUGAAAACAGAAAAGAUGAUUGAAACAGUCAGAAAAUAUAUAGUAGGACAACAUUUUGCAGAGCUCUUGAAUUCACCUGGCUUCUUAAAAAAAAAAAAAAAAAAAAAAACCUCUUCACAAAUCUCUCAGAAUCUGGAUUGGAAAUACAAAUAUGAUGAAAUUAUAUAGUGAAAAUAUUACAUAAAGUUGAAGCCAGAUCUGGAAAACAUUGACAACCAAAUUGCAAUGCACUCUUUCUACCAUCAGUCUCAAGGACCCAGUCUUCUAAUUUUUCUGAAUGAACACUGUGUGAUUUCUACAUUUAAAAAAUAACCUAGAGGCCGGUGAUUUAGCUCAGUGGUUCCGGCUCCUGCCUCGCAAGCGCAAGGUUCCAAGUUCGAUCCCUGGUACCAAAUAAAUAAAUAAAUAAUAACCUAGAAGAGUGAAAACUUUUAUUUUAGGAAUAAUGAAAUUCAGCUCAAAGUAGCAUUAAAUUCAAUAAAUACCUGGAAGCCCAAUAAGAUUUAACUUGUUCUGGGCUGAGAGAAUAGCUCAGUAGUAGAGCAUUUGCAAACGAUGCACAAGGCCCUGGGUUCUAUCUCAAGCUCUGCCAAACAAAGUGAUUUAACUUGUUCUAUAUCAGGGUUUCUCAAUAGUUGCCCUAUUAGCACAAAAUUUUCUGUUGUGGGAGACUGACCUCGGUAUUGCAGGAUGUUAGUAAGAUCCUUGGCCUCUAUCCACUAGAUGCCAGUAGAAACCCCCAGCAAUGACAAUCAAAAAUGUCUCCUGCCAUUCCCAAAUUGUUCUCAAUUGAGAAUCACUAUUCAUCUUUUAAAGAGACAGAUUGUGAAAUAUGUAAUAUAUGUCCCGAGUAAAACUUCACAUAAAUGCAUACUGUUAGCAAGAUAAAUUAUUGCACCCAAAAUUACAUGUGUGAUUCAUAUGCAAUAAAAUACAAUUUUGGAGAAAGCGUUUAUGAACCAAUGAGGGAAAAAUUAUUAUUUAACAUUUUAAAGCACACAGAGAAAAUACCAAAAGGAUAUUACACUCUUUUGCAAGAGAAGUGCUUAAAUCUCUGGCGUCAAUGCAUAGAUCAAAAGUUUAUGGUUAGCAUAUCAUUUGGAAGUAAACAGGUGCUUUUGAAAUGCUUGAAAAGAACAGGUUCAUCUAAGUGAUUUAAAUGUGCUUACAAAAUUGUUUUCAUAAGCCCUUAAGCCCUUUCUUAAUGUAAGGGUAACUUCGUCCCACAAAUUCCUGAUAAGUGGAAUCCAAAUUAAUGAGGUUUUACUGUAUCAAAAUUAUUUUUAUAAUUCAAAGAGUCAGCAAUAACAAGAAUCUAAUGUGGAUGUGAUUUUUCUCUUUGAACAUUUCUGUUCUAUUGCACUAACCUUACCACACACACACACACACACACACAAACACAAGAUCACCACCACUACUAUUUUUAUCAUCAUCAUCUUGGGAAAAUGAGUACUGCUGAUCUGUGUAAUCUUUUGCAUCGUCUCUUAUUUUCACCAUCUUGGAACAUAUUUUUAAAAUCUCCUAACAUUGACAAUGAUGCAGGUGAUGAACCGAGCCUUGGUUGCCAUAAAAAUUAUAUCUGCUAAGGUAGCAUCAGAAGAUAAGGCUUACAAACUACAGUCUUGACAAGUUGACUUUACUUCCCUAUGGCUCCUUUCAUAGAUAAGCCCUUUUUAGUGUUCCAGUGGAAAAUGGCCUUUCCAUUCUAUUCAUCAAUGAGAAUCUAUUUGUUUAUUUGUUCUAAUAAUAAUGUGAGAAAUGUGAAAUCUUCCAUUUAUCUAGGGGUUUGGAGGGAGAAUGAUUGAGUUAUCAUUUAUGUUAAUCCCCUACAAAAGCAGUACUACUGACUUUUCUUCCUAUACUUCGUUGAGGCCCACAUUUACUGUCUCAAUCACAACCAGGGUCAUUAUCUGACUGUGAUUUUAGAGGGACAGAGAUGAGUGAGAUGUAUUACGGUAUUUCAUUCAUAAAGACAAUUUUUUAAAUCUUUUGGAAUUGAUUCUCAAUAAAUCAAAAUCUAGGACUUUCAAAGUUUUUAAGGGUUUUUAAGGGAAAAGUUCCAUGUUUAUAUGACUCUAUAUACAGUUUUAAAGGUACUAUUAUCCAUUAUCUACAUGACGUUGAGAGAAAAAAGGAAUAAGAUUAGGCCCAAGAUUGACUGAGGAAGAUUAGGGUAGAAACUUGUGGUACAGGGCUAUAAAAUGUUUGCACAGAUGGGGAAAUUAAGGAGGUUUGGAAAAAUAAAUAAAAAUCCUGUCCUUAGCUUAAUAACAUUGGAACAACCUGGGCCCACAUGGGGAAAAAGAACACUGUAAUCUGACCACAUUGGUUUAGAAAAGACAAUGCCAAAGCAAAUGGGCACAGCAUAUCAAGACUUGCUCACUACAUCAGUGGAAAUGUGGUAACCUUCACCUGUUUUCACCAUCCAACCCCAUUUUGGCUGGGCACUAUUUCAUGUGUACACUGCUCCAAGUACUAGAAAUAUUUUUUGUGAACAUAAGUUGAGCAUUAUCUCUAAUAUGCACUAUUCCAAGGAGAGCACAGUUGUCAGAUAAAAUGUUUGGUAUGUGUACUUGCAGACCACAUAUCCCUGAACAGAAGUAAUGCAGAACAGAUACAGUCUGAUUUGGGAAAGGGGAGGAAGUGCCAGUGUACAAGAGUAUUAAGGUGGGAGGGACAUGAUUGGAAGCACAGAUAGAUACCUUUAAUUGUGUAUUUAUCUUGAGGUGUGAUUCUCAGCCUUGACUGUACAUCACUUGAGAUUUUAAAACUCCCAAUUAUAUCAAGAUUCCUUGGAAUGGAAAGCAGACUUCAGUCUUUUUGAAAGCCUCCAAGGUGGUUCCAAUGUCCAACGAAAGUUGCUAACCACUUCUUUGUGGCCAAUUAAUGCAGACAUACUUGUCUACUUUGGCUGGUGUGUUGGGCUCAGGGAAGGCAAGAUGUAAGAACAGUAUUGACUGUAUUUGUACUUAUUCUAUGUCUCUCACAGAACAAAAGUCCGAGUGAAUUUCUCACCAGUAAGCACCGUUUUAAUUCCCAAUAACUCUGCAAUGUUCUCAUAUGUGAAUUACCCAUUAAUUAUUCCAACUCCAACUUAUAAAUUUUUUAUUGUCUUUUGGAUGUGACAUUUCAAGAUACUGGAAAUACAUCUCACAGUAAAUUCAACAGCAUAGAAAGCUAAGUGGAAAACUAAUUCUCAAUAUUUGGACAGUGAGAAUUUUCAAAAUCAUCAUUUACUAAAUUAGGUCUAACUUUAAUAGUAAUUCUUUUGGAAGAGACGUGGGUACCAGGUUCCUUUUUUAUUGUGGUUUGAAUCAAAAGCUCCCAGGGCCACUUAGAUUCAAUUUUCUUCAUUAUUGGAUAUGUAUUUAAAGGGAAAAAUGCUUAGAAUUUACUGUCCAACCUCCAGUGUGCUGAAAGAGUGCUAAUACCAUCACAAAGGGAGAGUUGGCCUAGCAAAGGCAGAAACACACAGUGACAAAAGAUCCAGAGUAAUCUCUUCUCGUACUUUCCCUCUAGUUUUGGCCCACCCUUUUCAACUGCAAAGCCAGAAAGUAAAUAAAGUGGUAGUUUUGGACAAUUGUACACAGGAUCAAAAUCUCUUAAUAACCUAUAAUUUUUAGUACUUAAUUAUGUGAUGUUUUAUUCUAGGAAAUAAGAAACAGAUAACAUCAUUGAUGUAUCUUUCUUUCAUCUUCAGAAUUUUUGCAUCUUUUCAGAAAAUGAAAAAUUACUAUUUUUCUGUUGCAC